UACGUAGGGGGGCAAGCGUUGUCCGGAUUUAUUGGGCGUAAAGAGCGUGUAGGCGGCCAAGCAGGUCCGCUGUGAAAACUCGAGGCUCAACCUCGAGACGUCGGUGGAAACCGUUUGGCUAGAGUCCGGAAGAGGAGAGUGGAAUUCCCGGUGUAGCGGUGAAAUGCGCAGAUAUCGGGAAGAACACCCGUGGCGAAGGCGGCUCUCUGGGACGGUACUGACGCUGAGACGCGAAAGCGUGGGGAGCGAACGAGGA
rnacentral:rRNA from 1 species